UUGAAGAAGAACCGAAGAGUAAAUCUCCCAAGCUGCCCUGGAGAUGCAUCUAUGUCUGACAGGAAGUGGGAUGGUCCCGGUAGGCUGGGGUUAAGUAUCUGACUUCAACAAAUGCCCUUCUCUCUAUGUGUUUUCACAGAAGGCCAGGCCCAGGAAGAACUUUUACCCCACUUCCUACAUUUCAGAGCUGAAAAUGACGGAAUUGUCAUGGUAAUGCCCAUAGUUGAUGUAACAGAUGCUGAGAAGGAAAAACAACGCUUGCCACAUGUGAAAACUGCCUGGUUGGUUCUGCUCUGAGUGCCUCUCUGGAGGGCACAUUGAUGGAUUUGACAAUCACUUAAUUCUACUAGAGCCUGACCGCCAGUCUGGAAGUCAGAUAGACAGCAGCAGAGACGUAGAUGAUAGCCGCAGGCUGCUGCUGGUGGGCAGCUGACAGAGUCCACCUUCAAGGACUGCCUUCAGUACCAUCUACAUUCUUCUACCUGGGACUGUGUGUGGCCAUGCAAACAGGCUCAGAGGGCUGCUGCUGCUGCUAUGGUUCGUGCAUACUCUCUGUUGAGAUGGUUUUUUGGUGCUUAUUCAGCUGGGCUAGAAUGCUGAUUUGUAAAGUGUCAAUCUUCAGAGAACCUUCAUUAACUGGAGGCAAACAGGUUUGAUGUUAGCCAGCUGCUAGGAUGGAAGUUCUGUAUCCACCCACACAGCAAGGUUUACCUGAAUGCCUAGGCUUCGUUGAGUGUGGAGAAGAGGCAAUGUGAAUAACAGCGCUUAGCCCCAGAUUCACAUAGAAGCAAAGCUCUGGGGCGGUGCUGACUCGUUCCAAUGAGAGGUCUGGGCUGUUCACAAAAAGUUCUCAGUGUCUGGAGCCUGAAUAGCUGAAGCAGUCAGCUCAGAAGCACACAAGCCCGAAGCAUGGCAGGUCUGUGGAGGAAGGGAAAGAAUAGACAGGGGCAGAAAGGCAGAGCACAUGAGGAGUUGAAGCUGGAAAGAUAUUGGAGCUUAUAGACUCUUUAGCCCUACUCAGGACAAUGUUAUGUGGACAAGGGAGGCCACCAAAGGUCUUUUUGAAUGUAGAUUUGCAUGGACUUAGAAAGUAUUUGGCAACCUUUUAAGGAAUAGAAGGAGAGAUAACACUGGCUUAGUAUGUCUCAAGGUGGACUCAAAAUGCAAUGGAUGUGAGCUAGAAGUCAAUAGUAGGGAAGGGAGUGGGGACAGAGAGAUAAGAACAGUUCUCAUGGAAUAAUUGAGUGGGUAGAGCUGGAUGUCACCAGUGCCUCCAGCCACCAUGGUACCUACUUUCUGUUUGGCUAAGCAUGAGUUUAUGAUCUCUUUUGGUUUCCAUGGUAAACUUAUAAAGAACUUUGUUUUACAGACGGAGAAAUGAGGUCAAAAGCCUAGCCUGUGGCACAUCCCUGUAAAUUCCAAAGCUAGGGUUUCCAUUCCAGAGAGCGUUCUCAUCCAUAAUGACAUGUCUGGCCCAUGUAACGGCAGUGGCCAGGAGAUGGAAAGAAACUUAGACCUGACCCCAGGCAAGGUCACAGGUUUGGGUAGGGAAGAUACCCAGGGUUGUGUAGACGGUAUGCUUUAAAUGGUGAAGAGUCAGCUGGCCAGUGAGGACCAGGUAGAAAGGCAGAGUUCAAGACAGGGGACCAGACUCAGAUUUUGCCACUGUGAGAGCAGCAUAUUCUUGUGUGUGUGUGUGUCCAUUAAUUAAUUACUUAUUAAUUUUAUAUCCUAAUUGCUGCCCAACCCCUUCUCUCAACCCUCCUCCCAUCUUCUCUGAGAUUAUGAAGAUCCCCUGGGUAUCCCCUCACCCUGGUGCAUCAACUUUGCAGGAUUAGGCACA